rnacentral:rRNA from 1 species
GAUGAACGCUGGCGGCGUGCCUAAUACAUGCAAGUCGAGCGAACAGACGAGGAGCUUGCUCCUUCGACGUUAGCGGCGGACGGGUGAGUAACACGUAGGUAACCUACCUAUAAGACUGGGAUAACUUCGGGAAACCGGAGCUAAUACCGGAUAAUAUUUCGAACCGCAUGGUUCGAUAGUGAAAGAUGGCUUUGCUAUCACUUAUAGAUGGACCUGCGCCGUAUUAGCAAGUUGGUAAGGUAACGGCUUACCAAGGCAACGAUACGUAGCCGACCUGAGAGGGUGAUCGGCCACACUGGAACUGAGACACGGUCCAGACUCCUACGGGAGGCAGCAGUAGGGAAUCUUCCGCAAUGGGCGAAAGCCUGACGGAGCAACGCCGCGUGAGUGAUGAAGGUCUUCGGAUCGUAAAACUCUGUUAUUAGGGAAGAACAAACGUGUAAGUAACUGUGCACGUCUUGACGGUACCUAAUCAGAAAGCCACGGCUAACUACGUG